rnacentral:tRNA from 1 species
GGGUAUGGUUCAGUGGUAGAGCACUUGCCUAGCAUGCACAAGGUCCUGAGUUUAAUUCCCAGUACCACCA